GUCCUGUGAUUGUAGCCUAGUGGACAUGGCAUCUGCCCGGUAAGUGUUCUACCGCGUUAGGGUAAAGGUUCGAGCUGCAGUGAGAACUAUAAAUUAAUAAUUUAUAUUUUAAUAAGUCCAAAAAUUACAUACAAUUAUAAGAGGCAGAUGGAGUACAGUUUUUACUCCACCAGCGCCUAGAGUAUUAUAUAAUGGAAGGAAACGCCGCAGGUUGUAGCGACGCGCGGUAAACAGCCGGCUGACAUCAGGCGGUGUUCGAAAAGUGCGCGCGCAGCCCCCGGUGCGCGCGCAGGCCGGCUGGCCAGCUCGCAGAAUUCCCGGCGUCCCGUGCCAGCGUCGCCCGCUGGCAUCCUCUUAUCUCAGUAAGCGGAACAUUGUGGGUUCGAUUCCCAUCCCUGGACA